rnacentral:rRNA from 1 species
UACGUAGGGGGCGAGCGUUGUCCGGAAUCAUUGGGCGUAAAGAGCUCGUAGGCGGUUCAGUAAGUCAGGUGUGAAAGCUCCGAGCUCAACUCGGAGAGGCCACCUGAUACUGCUGUGACUAGAAUCCAGUAGGGGAGUGUGGAACUCCUGGUGUAGCGGUGAAAUGCGCAGAUAUCAGGAAGAACACCAGCGGCGAAGGCGGCACUCUGGGCUGGAAUUGACGCUGAGGAGCGAAAGUGUGGGUAGCAAACAGGAUUAGAUACCCUGGUAGUCCACACCGUAAACGUUGGGCACUAGGUGUGGGGAGGAUCAACCCUUUCCGUGCCGUAGCUAACGCAUUAAGUGCCCCGCCUGGGGAGUACGGCCGCAAGGCUAAA